UAGCAAUAUAGCGAGUAAAGCGGCGACAGGGUGCGUAACGCGUAAGCAACUUGCGCAUAGGAUGGGGAUAACGUCGAGAAAUCGGCGCUAAUACCCAAUAAUGCAGCGGCAUCGCAUGAUGAUGUUGUUAAAGGUCGCUUCGGUGGCGCCUAUGGAUGGGGUUGCGUCUGAUUAGUUAGUUGGCGAGGUAACGGUUCACCAAGACGACGAUCAGUAGCUGGUCUGAGAGGAUAGAUCAGCCACACUGGAACUGAGACACGGUCCAGACUCCUACGGGAGGCAGCAGUGAGGAAUAUUGGGCAAUGCCCGCAAGGGUGACCCAGCAACGCCUGCGUGUAGGACGACAGCCGUAAGGUUGUAAACUCCUGUUCGGGGGGACGAAUAACCGUCGUUUGCAAAGGUGACGGCUUGAUGGUACCCUCAGAGAAAGCCCCGGUUAACUACGUGCCAGCAGCCGCGGGAAUAACGUAUGGGGCACACGUUGUCCGGAUUUACUUGGGUGUAAAGGUGCGCGCAGGCGGGUCGGUCAGUCAGAGGUGAAAGCCCACAGCUUAACUGUGGAACUGCCUUUGAUACUGCCGAUCUUGAGUGCGGGAGAGAGAAGCGGAAUUCCAGGUGU
rnacentral:rRNA from 1 species